GCGCCGCAAACCGUGCGCUGCCCUCCGAAGGCAAAGGUCAUAGGUUCGACUCCUAUCGGGUGCGCCA
rnacentral:tRNA from 1 species